rnacentral:tRNA from 20 species
GUUCAAGUCCCUCUAUCCCCAA